UUUUGUUCAGCUGGUUUAUCCAUGAUAUAUUCAUCUUAACCGAUGACAGAUUCUCUUCCCUGCUGAGUUUAUCCUUGAUAUGUUCAUCCUAACCGAUGACAGAUAUUCUCCUCUUUGGUCUUCUACCCAGUAACUGGUAGUUCUAAAUCCUAUUUUUCUGCGAUUUUCCUCAAAAAGGUUAUUCUUACCCAGUAACCGGUAAUGAAUACUCCCUCCUGGCAUUUCCC
rnacentral:lncRNA from 1 species